GAUUAACGCUGGCGGCAGGCCUAACACAUGCAAGUCGGACGGUAGCACAGAGAGCUUGCUCUCGGGUGACGAGUGGCGGACGGGUGAGUAAUGUCUGGGGAUCUGCCCGAUAGAGGGGGAUAACCACUGGAAACGGUGGCUAAUACCGCAUAACGUCGCAAGACCAAAGAGGGGGACCUUCGGGCCUCUCACUAUCGGAUGAACCCAGAUGGGAUUAGCUAGUAGGCGGGGUAAUGGCCCACCUAGGCGACGAUCCCUAGCUGGUCUGAGAGGAUGACCAGCCACACUGGAACUGAGACACGGUCCAGACUCCUACGGGAGGCAGCAGUGGGGAAUAUUGCACAAUGGGCGCAAGCCUGAUGCAGCCAUGCCGCGUGUAUGAAGAAGGCCUUCGGGUUGUAAAGUACUUUCAGCGGGGAGGAAGGCGAUGUGGUUAAUAACCUCAGCAAUUGACGUUACCCGCAGAAGAAGCACCGGCUAACUCCGUGCCAGCCGCCGCGGUAA
rnacentral:rRNA from 1 species